rnacentral:rRNA from 1 species
GAUGAACGCUAGCGAUAGGCUUAACACAUGCAAGUCGAGGGGCAGCAUGGUCUUAGCUUGCUAAGACUGAUGGCGACCGGCGCACGGGUGCGUAACGCGUAUGCAACUUGCCUCACAGAGGGGGAUAACCCGUCGAAAGACGGACUAAUACCGCGUUCACUUGGGAUAGGGCAUCCUGACCCAAGGAAAUGAAAUUCGCUGUGAGAUAGGCAUGCGUCCCAUUAGCUAGUUGGUGAGGUAACGGCUCACCAAGGCGACGAUGGGUAGGGGAACUGAGAGGUUGAACCCCCACACUGGUACUGAGACACGGACCAGACUCCUACGGGAGGCAGCAGUGAGGAAUAUUGGUCAAUGGGCGAGAGCCUGAACCAGCCAAGUCGCGUGAAGGAUGACUGUCUUAUGGAUUGUAAACUUCUUUUAUACGGGAAUAACAAGAGUCACGUGUGGCUCCCUGCAUGUACCGUAUGAAUAAGCAUCGGCUAACUCCGUG